UACGUAGGGUCCAAGCGUUAAUCGGAAUUACUGGGCGUAAAGCGCGCGCAGGCGGCUAUCCAAGUCAGUGGUGAAAGCCCGGAGCUCAACUCCGGAACUGCCAUUGAAACUGUUUAGCUUGAGGACGAGAGAGGUGAGUGGAAUUCCCAGUGUAGAGGUGAAAUUCGUAGAUAUUGGGAAGAACACCGGUGGCGAAGGCGGCUCACUGGCUCGUAUCUGACGCUCAGGCGCGACAGCGUGGGGAUCAAACAGG
rnacentral:rRNA from 1 species